AUCAUUUUUAUUCUUUAUUCUUUGUUUUUUACAUUUUGCAAAACUCUUAUUUAUUGUCUUAUAAUCUAAUUGUAAAAUGUAUUUGUUACACAUUUUGAUGCAUUUUUAUGCUUUAGAAAACAUUUAUGUCAGAAUUUUGGGACGGAUUAGGGCAUUUACAUGGAAAACGCGUCUCUACUUGCAACAUUUUCUUGUGAAGAAAAUUCUUCCAGAACCAAUUAAUUUCGUAAAAACAAUUAAUUUCGUAAUCAUUUCAGGCCAAUUCAGUGAAAUUGGAUGUUAGUUUUGUGCUUCUUUGUUCAUAAAGACAUUCUGUUAAAAUGAUGGCCCAUCUAAAAGAAUUGCGAUUGUCUUAAUCGAUGCCUUAGCAAGAAUCUUGUAAAAGGAAACAAACAAACAAAAAAAACAUUCACGUUAGGAAGUCUACAUUGAGAAAACCCAUAUUGUGUUGAUGAGGUCCAAUUAUAGAGUCUCUGAAGGUGCGCUCCAGCAUGGUUAGAUCACAGUAUGUAUAAAGUGUCAACUACAUGAGUUGUUCUCUUGCAAAGAGCAGCUGCAUUCUCUCCACAGAGGCUAUAAUGGCGUCGUGAGAGCUCAUACGCAGCCGGGCAUUAGCAGCCUUAGGAGGUCAAAUUAAGAGCAAAAUGAUCCAUCAAUUAGACAGCGGCAGGCCUGUAGGUGGAUCAGCCAACAGCUGCCGCAGACAAAACGGGCGCUUACCAUUAAGCGCCAGUCACGCAUGGCCGCCAUAUAUCUAAAAUAGUGCCAACUCAUAGCCGCCAAGAUGCGUAAAGAGGUCAAUUCCGACAUGAAAUUGACUUUUAAUUAGCUGUUUGCGUUUCAAUCUGUGUGUGUGUUAAUCAGUUUGGUAUCUCCAUGAAGCAGCUAGCCAUCUCUAAUUGUUUCCCUUUUAUUUCCCAGUUUACGGCUUAUUUUGAGUUCAACAACUGUCAAGGGUUUUUCUCAGUCGCUAGAUAAUCAUUCAAUACUACGUUUUGCUCUGCCGUCACUUCAAGAUUUUCAUUUGACUUCUUUGCCAAAUGAUAUGAGGGCUUCCACAUCAUACUAUCUCUUCUCAAAUAACAAUCUGCGAUCGAGUAAACACCCCCCAUUUUCAUGAACAUCUUACAUCUGGCGUGGCUUGUGGAACAACUGUGCUCCAGAGCAGCACAUAAUAGCGUACGAGUCCAGUGAUUGGCAUUGCAGACACAAUUGUUGACACACUGUUGGUAACAAAAACAGCAGAACCUAUUGGUCGAAUGAAAGUGUGGAGACACGUUGUAAUCAAGUUACGUAGUUUUCAGUUGUCGUAUUCAGUCCACAAUGUUGUGGCGCGGUGGUCGAUUGGUUAGCACAUCCGCCUCACAAUGUAGAGGUCAUUGGUUUGCAUCUGGGCCCCGGUCUUGUUUGUCAAUGUGUGUCCUGUGAUUGGCUGGCAAGCAGUUCAGGGUGCCCGAAGACAGCUGGGAUAGGCUCCAGCAUGCCCGCAACCCUCAUUAGGAUAAGGCUAAUCCAGAUAAUGGAUGAAUGGAUGGGUGUAGGGAUCUGUAUCCAAGAUGGAUUACAGGAAAAAUGAACAAUCUUCUGAUUAUUAUUUUUUUGAAGUAUCUAAUUUAUAAUCCGAUGGGAUGGUCUCUCUCAAUGUUCUGAGCUUCUGUUUACAGGAUAUUACCAUAACAUUGAUGCAGUAGCUCAAGUUCCAUCAGCUGGCGUCAUUUUGACAGCAAGCGAGUUGAAAUAGUGCCUCUGCUGGUUGAAGCAAAGCACUGGACUUGGUUUAUCCUCAAUUGCUCCAAGACACAGUUAAUCGAUGAUCAAUUAAUCUAUAGUGAAUAUUAAUUUGUACUGUUAUUAUCACACACAAAAAAGACAGCCUCUGCCGAAUAAACGUCUUUCUCCCAACGGACGCAGUUGAGUCACUAAACAUCCCGUGUAUGUACACGUUUAUUUCUUCGUUUUUUUCCCAAGUCAUUAGCAUGUUUUCAUAAUGUAGUAAAACGGUACUAUAGGUUUCAAGUUCCCUGGUGAAUUCCUGUUGCUGUCUGCUGUCAAAUGAUGCUGUGAUAGAUGCCCUCCUUUUAUCUCCUGGCCAUACGAGGGCCUUAUGAAUCUCCAAAUGUGUCUUUAUUUAUUUAUUUAUUUAUUUAUUUAUUUAUUUAUUUAUUUAUUUUUGCAUAUGGGAUUUUCUACAAUAGAGCAGUGUGAAUUAUUAAAAUCAAAUUAAAUUUGGCCUUCACAACAGCUUGGCAAAUGCAAAUUAAAGACGCCAGCUGUGUGUGGCUGAAAUCUAAUGAGUUGGGAGGGCUGGGGUGAGGGUGAGGGGUGACGGCUGGCAGACAAAAUUUGAUGGCACCACAAAUGAACACAAAGGAGAGGAGAAACGCCGUCGUGUAUGUUGCAGGCAGGAAAUUAUGGAAACACGUCAGAGAUGUUGUCCUAAUGAAUGACCUAUCGAGGGUAAGAUUCAGUUAGUAGACGCCAACCAUGUGGUCCACAAAUUGCCUAAUCUUGGAAUUCCUUGCUAAAAUAAAUGGGGGUGGAAAAAAUGAAAGACUUUUGCAGAUUUCUUGGAGUAGUUUUGUACAAAACUAGCCAGAAAGUUGGCUCAAAUUGACCCAAGUCGCGGGUGUUUACUUCCUGCCCAUUCCUGCUUGACAGCAUUUACUGACAUGUGUGAGUGACAUUAUUUGGACAUUCAAACGGCAAAACUCGAGCCGAUUAUUAUUAUUAUUUUGAAAAUAUUGGCUGACCAAUAAAAUCGGCCACUGCUAUAGCCCAAAUCUCAAAGCACCACAGACUAUACCACUGAUUAACAUGAAAUUGCCAAACUUGGAAGUUUCCAUCAGCGUGUUCAGGGAGUAUGGCAGCGGAAUCUUAUGAUGGCACCACUGUAACAUUUUAUACAUGCAAUAACCUGGCUCCCGAUGCUCCGAUUUCCUUCUAACCCUGCAUACGCUCAUCGAGUUCUUCAUCUAUCGCACCUCCGACACUGACAUUUUUUUUUUUGAAUGCGCUUUAUUUUAUUUUUUUAAAUGGUAGCAUAAAAUAAAAUCAUCUGGCUCCAGAUACAUGUUUUACGCAAGCUUUACAUAUACCUAAAACAUGUAUCUGUACCAUUUGACGAAAUAAAAUUGCGUCAAUUCAACGUUCCGAUUUAUUUCAGUAUUUUUUUCUACAUGGGAGUGCAAGGGCUCAUUCAUACUUUUGCCUUGUUUUCUCAUCUCUUCAUUCUUUCAUAAAUCAUCCUACCAUAGUGCCAUUUCAAUUUCUGAGCAUGCUCAACAGGGGCUGGGUGGGUUUAAGAUUUUGAAUAUUGGUACAACUUCUUAAACAAUAUGGUUUGAAUGCUAAUGAUGGUAGCUUAUUAUAAAUGAGAAUCUGUAUAUUAUGGAAAAUCAGCACAGGACCUUUCUUUGUGGGGCAGGGGUCCAUAUAGGUGAGGGUUUGUAACGUCGGGGGGUGGGAGGGGCGGGCAGUUCGUGGUUUUGCUCUCUAAAGAUAUGAAUAUUUCGGUUUGUCAGCACAAAGCAAACAAAGUCAGACAAAGUCAGUGGAGUACACUUUACUGACCUACAGAGGGCAAUAGAGGCAACUCAGUACUAUGACGUAAUAGUGGAAGGGCAAACGCUGUUUACAGGUUGUACGUUUCUUCCUUCUGUUUUCUCUUUUUAGUAUUUAAUUGCCACCUCUUUUUGUGGCAGUGUCAGUACAGCAUGGAUCAACUGACAGGGAAAAGCAGUAUCUUUUUUAUAUAUAUGCUAUAUUCAAGGGGUACAAAAAAUCACGUGUUAUGUAUUAUUAUUCCUAUGAUUAUGAUUAUUAGCCUGAGAUACCAAACAAACAUUCCCCCUACCUUUGCUGAAAUUUUCUUAAGACUUGCUGCUUAGAUGACUUCAUAUUAAUGACUGAUGAUUAAUGGUUUUAUAAUUAAUUGUCAAUCAAGUAUGUAACUAUUUAUUUAUUUAUUCAUUUAUUUAUUUAUGUAUUUAUUUGAGAUUAAUUUAAUUUGCGGUCCAAGGUAAGAUAAAGAUGUGUAUAACAAUAAUGAUAAGGAAAUGAUUAUUGGGGCUUUUUCUCUCUUUCUCUCCUUUUUUUCCAAUUUUACAAUAAAUUAUGAAAAAAUCAAA